rnacentral:rRNA from 1 species
GCACUGACUGCUUCGGAUUGAUACUAAGCCAUGCGAGUAUUGUAGCAAUACAAGGCAGACGGCUCAGUAACGCGUAGUCAACCUACCCUAUGGACGGGAAUAACCUCGGGAAACUGAGAAUAAUGCCCGAUAGAACAUUAUGCCUGGAAUGGUUUAUGUUCCAAAUGAUUUAUCGCCGUAGGAUGGGACUGCGGCCUAUCAGUUUGUUGGUGAGGUAAUGGCCCACCAAGACUAUUACAGGUACGGGCUCUGAGAGGAGUGGCCCGGAGAUGGGUACUGAGGCACGGACCCAGGCCCUAUGGGGCGCAGCAGGCGAGAAAACUUUGCAAUGUGCGAAAGCACGACAAGGUUAAUCCGAGUGGUUUCUGCUAAAGGAACCUUUUGUCGGUCCUAGAAACACCGAUGAAUAAGGGGUGGGCAAGUUCUGGUGUCAGCCGCCGCGGUAAAACCAGCACCUCAAGUUGUCAGGAUGAUUAUUGGGCCUAAAGCAUCCGUAGCCGGCUCUGUUAGUUUUCGGUUAAAUCUGUGCGCUCAACGUACAGGCUGCCGGGAAUACUGCAGAGCUAGGGAGUGGGAGAGGUAGACGGUACUCGGUAGGAAGGGGGUAAAAAUCCUUUGAUCUAUUGAUGACCACCUGUGGCGAAGGCGGUCUACCAGAACACGUCCGACGGUGAGGGAUGAAAGCUGGGGGAGCAAACCGGAUUAGAUACCCGGGUAGUCCCAGCUGUAAACUAUGCAAACUCAGUGAUGCAUUGGCUUGUGGCCAAUGCAGUGCUGCAGGGAAGCCGUUAAGUUUGCCGCCUGGGAAGUACGUACGCAAGUAUGAAACUUAAAGGAAUUGGCGGGGGGAGCAC